CGCAUGGGGUGAGGAGCCCAGGGACCGUGGCUGGACUGCAGGGUGGACCCAGCUUCCCCUCUACCUGCUAUUCCUCUGUUUACUGCACAUAAAAAUAGAUGAGAUUUAUGCAGAAUCCACCUUCUUUGUGACUAGUGCAUGCUUCUCCAAGCUUAACUCCUUAAAGCUCCUGUCAUUCGCAUUAAAUCUCAGGGGGGCAUAACUGGGAUUUAGAAACUCCCUGCUAUUUACCAGCGACAGAAUCUUACUAUGUUGCCCAGGCUGGAGUGCAGUAGAUUUUUACAGGGCUGGUGUCUCCGCUGACUUCUAGGGCUUCAGCCCGCAGAGAGCUUGUCCUGACUCCUGUGCUACCUGGUUUCCUGUAAGGCUAUGAGAGGGCAGGCCCUGGUGGAACACUGGAGAGCAGGAGAAAGAAGGAAACUGUGUCUUAUUUCCUGCUUCUGGUGAUGAUCUGUGGCGGCAGCAGCAGCAACUGCAGGCAGCAGGGGUCCUGAGGGAGUUGUGGGCUUACAGUCAGUUUCAGCUGCAUUUGUGGGGAUGCAGGGCAUCUAAGUUGCCGCAUAUCAGCAUGGGAAAGUCACACAAGCAGCCCUGGGCGUGCGGUCUCCAUCAGCUCAGCACUGAGGAGCAUAUGAGGCGCCACUGGUGACAACUCCUGGUCUGUGAGUGAUAACACUCGGCUCCUUGCUGCAUCAGCCUUCCCUCCAGCCCUUUGUGCCACCCUGUAACCACUUUUGUACAUUAAAUCUAUUCUAUUUAAAAUAGGUUAAGUGUAUAUAUGUGACUAGACAUUGAUAUCCUAUCAAAUUAAUUAUACCACAAUUAAAAUCCAAAUAGUGGUUAUUUAGGUUGUGUUCAAAUUUCUAAGUGAUAAAUUGUUUGACAUUUUUAAUAGCUUAUGUACAAAGGAUUCUCUUUUUAUUGUAUAUAUUUAAGGUAUGCAACAUAUUUUUAUAUACAUAGUGAAAUUAUUACUAUUACUACAGUCAAGAAAAUAAGCAUGUCCAUCUUUACUUUGUGUGUGUGUGUGUGUGUGUGUGUCUACAUGUGCUAAGAGCACCUGAAACCUACUCUCUUGGCUACUUCCCAGUGUACAAUACAAUAUUAUUAGCUAUAGUCAUCAAGCUAUACAUUAGAUCUCUAGACUUAUUUAUCCUACACAACUGCAACUUUUAACUCUUUGACCAACAUUUCCGUAUACUCUCCCCCGCCACCUUUCCCAGAUAGCAUUCUCUAAGUGUGUUUUUUCCUAAAGUGAUUUGCAAGAAGAUACAAAGUUUUCAAAUUUCUUAAUAUCCAUAAACUAAAUUCCCUGUCCAAAAAUGUUUUCAACUUGUGUUACAGCAUCACAGCAAUAAACUUUACAUGUACCAGGACUGAAUUCUAUGCACUUUUCCGUCUUAGUCAAUUUGAUAGGUGCAUCAUUGUUCAAUGUGCCUUUUUGAUUACUAAUGUUUACAUGACUUUUGAUGUGUUUAACUGUUGCUUUGUGAAAUAUCUGUCAAAUCCUGUGCGCAUUUUUUCUAUUUCCACAUGUGUAUGUGCAUAUAUAUUUAUAUUUCAUGUGUAUAUAUUAAUAAUUUUUUCUACUUUAUUAAAUUUUAUUGUAUUUUAAGUCCUGGGAUAUAUGUGCAGGAUGUGUGGGUUUGUUGCAUAGGCAAAAGUGUGCCAUGGUGGUUUGCUGCACCCAUCAACCCAUCAUCUAGGUUUUAACUCCCGCAUGCAUUAGGUAUUUGUCCUAAUGCUUUCCCUCCUCUUUCCCCCAACCCCCUACCUGGUUUUUAUUUCUGUAGCUUAUAAACAAAUCUUGAUGUUACUGAAGAUGUGUUAUCUUGUGUCAUUAUUUUAUUUGCUUUUACAGUAUUAAGCAUUCCAGGCUGGGCACAGUGGCUUAUAUCU
rnacentral:lncRNA from 10 species